UGAUUCUGUCGGUAGGGUCACACCCGUUCCCAUCCCGAACACGGAAGUUAAGCCUACUGGAGCCGAUGAUACUGCAUCUUUCAGGAAAAAAGCCUGUGCAGAAUUGC
rnacentral:rRNA from 1 species